UUUUAAAUGCCGGCUUGUGAAAUAUGAAAGCACUUUUAUUUUCCCUUUACUACAGUGACUGGCAGGCAUACACUCUGGCAAAAGACUUUCCAGUCUUGUGGGUGCCAUUGGGCUUCAGAUGUCCCGAGUUCGAGUCCCGGCUCACGGACCUUUCCCGAUCCCAUCCCCUUCGUUUCUGUCCACUGCCAGCCAUCCAAGUGCACACAUACAGCAAAGUCCUGAAGUCCAAUUAGAUGAUCAUAAACUCAAG
rnacentral:lncRNA from 1 species